rnacentral:lncRNA from 1 species
GCUAGGAGCAAAAUUGAAGCCUAAGCUAGAGAGAUUAACCUACUAAGGUAAGGGGGUUAGAAUUCAUCAUAAUCACUUAUUGUAAUUUUCAAUUAUUUGUAUGAAAAGUGCUUAAUUGGAUGAAUUGAUUAAUUGUUCAUAAAUGAUGAAAUUCGUGCUCUAAUUAUGAUGCCAUGUUUAGAUGUAUGAAGUUAUGAAUAAUUGAAU